AGCGAACGCUGGCGGCAGGCUUAACACAUGCAAGUCGAGCGGGCAUCCUUGUGGUGUCAGCGGCAGAUGGGUGAGUAACGCGUGGGAACGUGCCCUUCGGUUCGGAAUAACUCAGGGAAACUUGAGCUAAUACCGGAUACGUGCGAGAGCAGAAAGGUUUAUCUGCCGAAGGAUCGGCCCGCGUCUGAUUAGCUAGUUGGUGAGGUUACGGCUCACCAAGGCGACGAUCAGUAGCUGGUCUGAGAGGAUGAUCAGCCACACUGGGACUGAGACACGGCCCAGACUCCUACGGGAGGCAGCAGUGGGGAAUAUUGGACAAUGGGGGCAACCCUGAUCCAGCCAUGCCGCGUGAGUGAUGACGGCCUUAGGGUUGUAAAGCUCUUUUCUCCGGGACGAUAAUGACGGUACCGGAGGAAUAAGCCCCGGCUAACUUCGUG
rnacentral:rRNA from 1 species